rnacentral:rRNA from 1 species
AGAACGAUAACCUCGGGAAACUGAGGCUAAUAGUUCAUACGGGAGUCAUGCUGGAAUGCCGACUCCCCGAAACGCUCAGGCGCUGUAGGAUGUGGCUGCGGCCGAUUAGGUAGACGGUGGGGUAACGGCCCACCGUGCCGAUAAUCGGUACGGGUUGUGAGAGCAAGAGCCCGGAGACGGAAUCUGAGACAAGAUUCCGGGCCCUACGGGGCGCAGCAGGCGCGAAACCUUUACACUGCACGCAAGUGCGAUAAGGGGACCCCAAGUGCGAGGGCAUAUAGUCCUCGCUUUUCUCGACUGUAAGGCGGUCGAGGAAUAAGAGCUGGGCAAGACCGGUGCCAGCCGCCGCGGUAAUACCGGCAGCUCAAGUGAUGACCGAUAUUAUUGGGCCUAAAGCGUCCGUAGCCGGCCACGAAGGUUCAUCGGGAAAUCCGCCAGCUCAACUGGCGGGCGUCCGGUGAAAACCACGUGGCUUGGGACCGGAAGGCUCGAGGGGUACGUCCGGGGUAGGAGUGAAAUCCCGUAAUCCUGGACGGACCACCGAUGGCGAAAGCACCUCGAGAAGACGGAUCCGACGGUGAGGGACGAAAGCUAGGGUCUCGAACCGGAUUAGAUACCCGGG